ACUUUUAAAGGAUAGAAGUAAUCCAUUGGUCUUAGGAACCAAAAAAU
rnacentral:tRNA from 2 species